UACGUAGGGUGCAAGCGUUGUCCGGAAUUAUUGGGCGUAAAGAGCUUGUAGGCGGUUUGUCGCGUCUGCUGUGAAAUUUCGGGGCUCAACCCCCGAACUUGCAGUGGGUACGGGCAGACUAGAGUGUGGUAGGGGAGACUGGAAUUCCUGGUGUAGCGGUGAAAUGCGCAGAUAUCAGGAGGAACACCGAUGGCGAAGGCAGGUCUCUGGGCCACUACUGACGCUGAGAAGCGAAAGCAUGGGGAGCGAACAGGG
rnacentral:rRNA from 1 species